CGCAGCUGGAGAUGCCUCUGCACUCGUGCAUGUCCAGUGGCACUCGACGGUGUGUGGUGACGGCUGCUUGCGACUAGAAUAGGACUGUGGAGCAGUGCCACGGUGCAGUGUAGCAGGGGCUCAGGAGCAGGAUCUGUUGCCGGCUAAUUCCUGGUUGGCCCCUCUCUCGUCGAGGUCCCCUAUGCUGCUUGUCCACGUCGCCAGGGCGCAGCUGGAGAUGCAUCUGCACUCGUGCAUGUCCAGUGGCACUCGACGGUGUGUGGUGACGGCUGCUUGCGACUAGAAUAGGACUGCGGAGCAGUGCCACGGUGCAGUGUAGGAGGGGCUCAGGAGCAGGAUCUGUUGCUGGCUAAUUCCUGGUUGGCCCCUCUCUCGUCGCAGUCCCCUAUGCUGCUUGUCCACGUCGCCAGGGCGCAGCUGGAGAUGCAUCUGCACUCGUGCAUGUCCAGUGGCACUCGACGGUGUGUGGUGACGGCUGCUUGCGACUAGAAUGGAACUGCAGAGCAGUGCCACGAUGCACUAUAGCCGGGGCUCAAGAGCAGGAUCUGUUGCUGGCUAAUUCCUGGUUGGCCCCUCUCUCGUCGAGGUCUCCUAUGCUGCUUGUCCACGUCGCCAGGGCGCCGCUGGAGAUGCAUCUGCAC